UUUGUGUAUGCAAUUGGUACAUUUGCGCCAUCUCUUUGGUAAUCCCUAUACUUUUCCAAAUUAAUUUCUUGUAAUAGUUGAACGAGUUCCCAUGAGAUGUAGCCACGUACGUAACUACACUUAAAAGAUCAUUUUAAUUUAUGCACUUAAUAGCCACGUACGACUCAAUUUUGCUUAAGACUAGAAACCAAUUUCGAAAGAAAAUUCAAAGGGCUGUAACUUUUGAUGUGGUAAAAUGUUAUUACUUCUUUUGCUUCUGAUGGAUUUCUUUUAGAUUCACUCCGAUCUUCCGAUCUGGAGGCCAUCGAGGUUGCGAUGCUGCCUGAGACUUGCCUCUUCUAGUCUUCAGAAAAUGUUACUACGUUUUCAUCUGCCAUUCUGCUUUAAUCAUGGCGCUUGUCGAGGCUACUUUGGAAUGGAAUAUACAGAAUCAAUGCACUUCGAUUGCCAAUGGUAGAUAGAGGCCAUCUAAUGAUUACAAUGCUGCCCAAUAUACGUAUGUACCUUGCAGCUUUUAGAAAGGAUUCACCGUGGAGCUUGUCAAGACCACUUUGGUUGGGAUGUGACAUAUAGGGUGCGUUAGGGUUAACCUUCGAUUGCCAAGGACAGGUGGAGGCCAUCGAAUGAUUGCGAUGCUGCCGGAGACGUGCCACCUUCAGGUCUUCUGCAAUUCCUAAUUUACAUGGAGCGCCUCAAUACCACUUGUAAAUGGAAUAUACAGGAGUCAAUUCCACCUCGAUUGUCAACGAACUUCUGAAGACGGAGGCCAUCCAGGAUUGCGACGUGCCACUUUCACGUUAGGGAAGGUGGCCAACUUUUCCAUAUGGGAUUCCACAACGAAGUGCCCGUAAGCCUUGCGUUACGCCGGAGAAAAACAGUUUUGAAGAAGUCGCCUCGUCUCUAUGAAGUUGCAGCCACAGGAGCUGUGAAGCAAACCACGUCCAUUUGGAGAACCUGGAAAAUACAAGUCCUUUUGAAAGCCUUCUUGAAAAAUUCAAAAAUCAAAAAACUUUUUUGAAAACUCUUGAAAAAU